rnacentral:rRNA from 1 species
AUACGUAGGGAGCGAGCGUUGUCCGGAAUUACUGGGUGUAAAGGGAGCGUAGGCGGGAGUGCAAGUCAGAUGUGAAAUACAUGGGCUCAACCCAUGGGCUGCUUUUGAAACUGCAUUUCUUGAGGGAAGUAGAGGUAAGCGGAAUUCCUGGUGUAGCGGUGGAAUGCGUAGAUAUCAGGAGGAACACCGGUGGCGAAGGCGGCUUACUGGGCUUUUACUGACGCUGAGGCUCGAAAGCGUGGGGAGCAAACAGGAUUAGAUACCCUGGUAGUCCACGCUGUAAACGAUGAUUACUAGGUGUGGGGGGACUGACCCCUUCCGUGCCGCAGUUAACACAAUAAGUAAUCCACCUGGGGAGUACGGCCGCAAGGUUGAAACUCAAAUGAAUUGACGGGG